rnacentral:rRNA from 1 species
AUGUUUUCAAUUGAUCAUGAUGUCCAAGAAGGUGAAAAGCAAGAUGGGUUAGUUUGGGUUAUUAACUCAACCAAGUCUCGCAUAUCCAGUUCAGUUAAAGGUUGUAAGGCUGCAUCAGAUGAAGAGUCGACAGAACAUUUCAUUAGUACUAUGAAGGAAAAGGAUGUCAAAAUAGAUAGGUUCGAAGUAAGAGGAAAAGCAUGGACUCGUCGAAGGCUUGUUCUGACAGGAAGUGAUGGUGCGUUCCAUGUGCUGCAAUGGAAACAACACAAAACAAGAAAGAUGAAUGUUGGCUCGGCAACUACUUCUGGUGAGAGCGAGCGGCUGUCACGUGGGUUGGAGGAGGAGAACUCAGCGGGAGUCAAGGAGCUGAGGGCUUUGAUUCAAGGUGUUGAAGCCAGAAUCAGUGCACAGUUGAAGGACUUUGAGACAACAAUUUCCACUCGGUUCUCUCCGUUCGAAUCCCGAAUUCAGAGCAUGGACAUACGACUACAGGCAAUAGAGCAGGAGAGAGCCGAGUCUACGGGGACCAAUGUAUGGUAG